ACUCCUACGGGAGGCAGCAGUGGGGAAUAUUGCACAAUGGGCGCAAGCCUGAUGCAGCCAUGCCGCGUGUAUGAAGAAGGCCUUCGGGUUGUAAAGUACUUUCAGCAGUGAGGAAGGUGGGUAUGUUAAUAGCAUACUCAUUUGACGUUAGCUGCAGAAGAAGCACCGGCUAACUCCGUGCCAGCAGCCGCGGUAAUACGGAGGGUGCGAGCGUUAAUCGGAAUUACUGGGCGUAAAGCGCAUGCAGGUGGUUUGUUAAGUCAGAUGUGAAAGCCCGGGGCUCAACCUCGGAAUUGCAUUUGAAACUGGCAAACUAGAGUACUGUAGAGGGGGUAGAAUUUCAGGUGUAGCGGUGAAAUGCGUAGAGAUCUGAAGGAAUACCGGUGGCGAAGGCGGCCCCUGGACAGAUACUGACACUCAGAUGCGAAAGCGUGGGAGCAAACAGGAUUAGAUACCCCUGGUAGCGACUGA
rnacentral:rRNA from 1 species